UCCUAACUUCCUUUGCACGACACAAGAGACAACACUUUUAUUUUCCCCGAGGAAGACAUAACCCUGUGUGUCAGAAAAGGAAAUGGCAACCCACUCCACUACUCUUGCCUAGAGAAUCCAGUGGACAGAGGAGCCUGGUGCGCUACAGUCCACGGGUCGCACAGUCAGACACGACUGAAGUGACUUAGCAUGCAUGUGUCAGACCGAAUAAUUUUAAAAGAAGUUUACUUGGCUGGGCUCUAGUCUAACACUUUUAUUACAAUAAUGUAGAAUCUAUAGGCACCCCUCACCAUGGGCUGAAACGCUUCUGGGUAACAAAAUGAAGGUCCCUAAAAACCGGACUUGAAAAUUCACAGUGAGGUCAGUCGGCCUAAAUCAUUAAAAAAGAGAGAACGAAGAAUUUUAUAUAUCGAAAUGGUGGAGUUUCCCCCCCCUCAUAACUAGUACUUUAUUUACUGCAGAGUUACAUGUCUGUAUCCAAACCAAAAGCACUGAAUAAAUAAAUAAAAUGCUUUUUCUCUUCCUUGCUCCCCACCUGCAAAAGGCCGAGAGGGAAAAGAUGUAGGCAGAGAGGAGAGUGAAAUCCCACACCCUUCCCUCUGCUUCCCCUGCGGCCACCGGCUGCAGGAGCAAGAGACACUCAGCGGUGCACCCAAAAAUGAAAGCGGGGGGACCUGUCCAUAUGGGACAAACGAGACUUCAUCACAAAAAUGAGGACUUGUUUCCUUAACUGCAAAUGUGUGGGAAGUUUGCAACAUGGUCAAGAUGUCUUCAAGGGUUGGGAAAAGGUCCUUAAGCGCUUACGUGCAGGCAACAAGAGAAACGCAAAGUGUCCUCGUCUACCCUACUUCAGAACUGCACUCUCCACUGGCUCCCUGCUCCUCCUAGGAGACCAGCAUGCACACUGCCUUCUCUCUGGCUUCUCCAUCCGUCCAACUGCUCCCAGCAGGUGGCCGUCUCCCUGUAUCUCCCCUUCUCUGCCGUCAAGCCUUGCCCCACCCGGCUAUAUAUCAUCCAGCAAAGAAAAGGCUUUUUUCCACUGUGACCCCCCGAGGAGAUUUCUGAGACUUUUUUUUUUUUUCCCUUAAUCAACACCCUAUGAUUGACUAUAGUCUUCCAAUCCUACUCCUGGGCAUAUAUCCAGAGGGGCGGGGGGGAACAUGAUUCAAAAGCAUACACGCACCUCAGUGUUCACUGGAGAACUAUUCACAACAACCAGGACAUGGGUGUAACCUAAAUAGUCACUGACAGAGGAAUGGAUAAAGAAGAUGUGGUACAUAUAUACACAAGGGAAUAAAUAUUACUGAGCCAUCAAAAAGAAGGAAAUUAUGCCAUCUGCAGCGCAUGGAUGGAGCUAGGGACUGUCAUCCUGAUGGAAGUAGUUUAGACAGAGAAGGUGAACUAUCAUAUAACACCCUUUAUCUGAGAAAUCUAAAAAGAAACGAUAUAAGUACACUUAUUUAUGAAACAGAAGUAGACUCACAGACAUAGAGAAUGAACUUACACUUACUGAAAAAACAGUAGCGGGGAGAGACAGGGAAUUUGCAAUGGACGUGGACACACCGCUUAAUUUAACAUGGAGAACCCACAAGGACCUGCUGGACAGCACAGGGAACUCUGCUCAAUCCUCUGGAAUAACCUUAUGGUUCCCAGGGGGAAGGAUGGGGAACGGAUAGUCAGGGAGUUUGAGAUGGACAUGGACACACUGCUGUAUUUAACAUGGAGAACCAGCAAGGACCUGCUGGACAGCACAGGGAACUCUGCUCGAUACUCUGUAAUAAGCUUAUGGUUACUAUGGGGAAGAAUGGGGGAAGGGAC
rnacentral:lncRNA from 1 species